GACGGAGGGGGCUAGCGUUGUUCGGAAUUACUGGGCGUAAAGCGCACGUAGGCGGCCUUUCAAGUCAGAUGUGAAAGCCCCGGGCUUAACCCGGGAAUUGCAUUUGAUACUGUUAGGCUUGAGACCGGGAGAGGAUAGCGGAAUUCCCAGCGUAGAGGUGAAAUUCGUAGAUAUUGGGAAGAACACCAGUGGCGAAGGCGGCUAUCUGGACCGGUACUGACGCUGAGGUGCGAAAGCGUGGGGAGCAAACAGG
rnacentral:rRNA from 1 species